rnacentral:lncRNA from 1 species
UCCAUCUCAAAAAAAAAAAAAAAAAAAAGAAAGAAAGAAACCAACAGGAAAAAAUGGACUAGUAACUUUAAUAAGGAUUUUGUUUAAAAAGCUUGAAUGGCCAAAAAAAUCUGAAAAGAUAUUUAAUCCCAUUAGGAACUAGGGAAAAUCCAGUUAAAACACAAGAUACUAUAACAUACCCACCAGAUUGGCAAAAAUGUAUAAACUUGACAUUACCAAAUGCUGAAGAGGAUGUAAGGUAACUUGCAUGGUGCUACAGGAGUGAAAAAUGGCAAAGCAACUUUGGAAAAUAAUUUGAUGUUUCUUUAUAAUGUUUACAUGUGCAUUUCUUUCCAUCUAGGAGACACACUUUCACACGCGCCCCAGAAUAAUGUGCAAGAAUGUUCACAGCAGUAUUAUGUCCAUCAACAACAGAAUGGACACAGAACUUGGUACUCCACAGUGUGAAGGUACCACAGCAGCAAUGAAGGGCAGCCACUGCAGUUACACGCCAUCAGCAUGGACUCAUCUGUCAACCCCCAACAGAAGGAAGGCACAAGAGAAUAAAUGCAGUACAAUUCCACAUGUAUAAAGUUCAAGGGCAUGCAAAGUGAAACUAUAGGCAGGCACAGGAGGGAAGCAAAUUGAGGAUGAUUAUCACAAAAAUCAGUUAAGAAAACACAAACUGCAUCAUCCAAAAAUACACCUUUGGUCCACGGAUGCCACUGGAAGACAUCUGAAUUUUAGACCUCCAGAGAGAAGAUCUGGGUGGCUAGCUCCAGAGUGGAGGCAUGCUUGCUUUUUCUUUACACUUGUGAAGAGGAAUGGAUCCGGACAUCUGCAAUCUGGGUAGAGGACGGCAGGCAGCAAGCUUAGCCACUCGGCCAGGCUUCUCAGCCCUUACUCUAGACAUGUGAUCCUUCCUCCACGUGAUAUACUUCACAACUUUCUUACGGCUACUCAAGGCAUCCCAAGUUAAAAGGAAGGGUCUCACUCUGUUGCCCAGGCUGGAGUGCAGUAGUACAAUCAUGGCUUAUUGUAGCGUUGACCUCUCAGGAUCAAGUGAUCCUCUUAUGUCAGCCUCCUGGGUAGCCGGGACCACAAGUGCACACACCACCAUACCCAGGUAAUUUUUAUUUUUUUAAU